rnacentral:misc_RNA from 1 species
UUUGUGUUGGCGGAUAUUUCCGCGUAUAAUAUUUCCUCAAUUGUAUCUCAUUAUGACCUUGGAACGUUUCUAGAACAAACGCAAACGCUUGGUUACAGACAGAAAGGCAAGGAUCGUCUGAAAGAUGAAAAAACUUGAACUUAUAACCUAUACUAUUGUGCUUCUUUGCACGAUUAAUGUCGUCAUCGGCAGACGGAUUUCUGAUGACGAAAAUGGCUAUGGCUCCGGAAGUGGAUCUGGAAGCGGAUCGGGAAGUGGAGCCGAUUCUGAAUAUGAUUCUAGCGAGGCUGACAAUGACAGUGGAGAAGCUAACAAAUACAAAUACUGUCCAACCAACUGGCUCAAUUAUGGGAACAAAUGCUACCGUUUAAGCAAAUGUAAUGUCAACUUCGAGCAAGCGACAAGAUUUUGUCAGGGAUACAAUGGUUACAUAGUCAUUCUGGAUGAUGUAAAAGAGGAACGUUUCGUCCAGGACGCACUAAUGAAAGCUAACAAUUGGACAUGGGCAAGGAUAGGUAUAACUGACGAAAACCAAGAAGGAAGAUGGCGAAGUGUUAAAGGCUACCCGCUAACAUAUACAAAUUGGCGAUAUGGGGAGCCGAGUAAUGGGUGGCCUGGACCAGACGAAAAUUGUGCUUAUCUUGGAGGAAAUAGUCGACGAAGCGACGGUUUAUUUGACUGGAAUGACACACCCUGUAGUGCAAACGUGCCAUUUGUCUGUGAAAAGGAAGCAAGUGAAUUUCCUCUGUCAGAGUCGGAUAAAGAUGACUUUGUCUUCGGAAGCGUAUCGGGAGGUGGAUGUGGAAAUGAAGCCGAUUCUGGAAUUGAGUCUGAACAUGAUUCUAGCGAGGAUGACAAUAACAGUGGAGAAGUCAACAAAUACAAAUACUGUCCAACCAACUGGCUCAAUUAUGGGAACAAAUGCUACCAUUUUAGCAAAAGUAAUGUCAACUUUGAGCAAGCGACAAGAUUUUGUCAGGGAUACAAUGGUUACAUAGUCAUUCUGAAUGAUGUAAAAGAGGAACGUUUCGUCCAGGACGCACUAAUGAAAGCUAACAAUUGGACAUGGGCAAGGAUAGGUAUAACUGACGAAAACCAAGAAGGAAGAUGGCGAAGUGUUAAAGGCUACCCACUGACAUAUACAAGUAAGGCAGUCAGUGUGUAAUGCUCGCUACCCGCUGACAUAUACAAAUUGGCGAUAUGGAGAACCGAGUAAUGGGAAGCUUGGACGAGACGAAAACUGUGCUUAUCUUGGGGGAAAUAGUCGACGAAGCGACGGUUUAUUUGACUGGAAUGACACUCCCUGUUAUGCAACCAUGCCGUUUGUCUGUGAAAGGGAAGCAAGUGAAUUUCCUCUGCCAGAAACUGAAGAGGAAAAGCAGCUUGAAUGCAAAGUAUCUAACCUUGGAGUUGAAUACCUUGGACGCGUGUCUCAGUCUCAGUCAAAGAGAAAUUGCAUCAAUUGGGAGGACAAAUUAAAUUUACUCUCGUGGACAACGUCGUGGGCACAAUCGAUGCCUCCAAAUGACAAAUUUCCCAUGGUUCCAAAUGGCACUGCAAUUCACAGGCACCGGGUAGCUAAGAAUUAUUGUCGAAAUCCUGAUGCUAGUUUGUUAGGGCCAUGGUGCUACGUGUUCAAGCCUAAACCAUACGAAAACGAAAUAGAGAAAGAACUUUGCACAAUACCAAUGUGCACCGAGGAAGAUACAAAACUUGAAACUACUUCUGCGAUAAAUUUCGGAAAGGAAUAUAUCUUUGUAUCACCGGAGACUCAGAUGACAUACCACACCGCUAAGGCUUACUGCAAGACGAAGUAUGCAUCAUUGCUCGAGCUGGGGGGUUCAGAAGAAGAGUCUUGGAUCGAAAAACAGAUGCGAGAGAGAGGAUACACUUGGGUUGUUAUGGGAAUAAAUGAUUUAAAACACGAAGGGAAAUGGAGAAAUGAGGAUGGAACGACACCGCAGUAUACAAAUUGGGCGUUAGGAGAACCAAAUCGGUUCACAGGCGACUGGGAGGAUUGUACCUAUGUAACUCCAUCAGAGUAUGGCAGUGGGUCACUUUGGAAUGACAUCACGUGCAAUACUCCAAUACCAGUGAUUUGUGAGAGACCCUUCAAAGAGCGCCUGGUAGAGCAGAAGCCCUAUAACCAAGUGAAUGAACAAUAAUAAACUAAACUAAGUAAGAUGAAAGAAAACCAUUGACCUGCUGGAUCAUGAAAGAUCAUGAGGAUAACUUGUAUGGCAAUGACAGAGUGAUAAUUGGACAAUUAAUUUGAAAGCGCCUUAUUAGACAAUUAACUUGUAAUGGCUUUGGAGUUCAUUUGACAUUACAAAUGUAUGAGCUUGUCAGAUAAUAAAUAUACAUUUCCUCCAAUUGUGA